rnacentral:lncRNA from 1 species
UGGGUGAAGCGUUUCGGCUUUCCCUCGGUUUUCUACGGAUUUUUGGCUCGGAUGUGGAGGUUUUUGGGUCGGGGUGAAGCCACUGGUCUUGUUCUUUGAGACAAAUCAGGCAUUGGUCUUGUUUUGGGCGUUUUUUGGGUGGUUGAUGAGUUUGGAUUCUGGGGGUGGUGUUUGCUUUCUUCGAUGUGUUUGGCAACCUGGUUUGGAGUUUCUUGUUGGGGUUGGAUCCUUCGGUGAAUAGGAGAACCUAUCUUCGAUGUGUUUGGCAACCUGGUUUGGAGUUUCUUGUUGGGGUUGGAUCCUUCGGUGAAUAGGAGAAGCUAUGUUAAAAAUUUCUGCUUUAGUUUCGAGCAGUCUCUGUUUUGUUUUGGUUUGGCUUCAACUACUAUUUCUGUCAACAUAACAGAAGGACGCUUUUCUAUUCUUAUCACUUUUCUUUUUUCUUUUUUUCCUAUUUAUUUCUUAAUAAAUUCCUGCAUUUCUCUUCAAGUUUUUACCCCACAAUAGUAUUAUAUUUCUGCAAAUUCUUCAGAGAAGAAAAGAAUGCAAUGCUUCGUUGUCAUUAAGUUCUCUAAAUAUCUGCUACUAGCACAUAGAAGUAGAAUGGUUUUAUGGUGUCUUCCAAGGCCAUCCAAAGGUCUUCUGCAUUUAUCUUCUGUCUAAAAGCUAGGCGAGAGGAAACGAAAUCCAGAUUUCAAAAUUAAAUCUUUUCGAUCAUUGUCGCUAUCAUACAAGCCUCGUUUCUCUUUCAUUCUUUUCGAUCGUUUAACUGCGUGUAUUUUAAUAAAAAUCCAAACUUUCCUCAGUUUUCUUGCACAUUUCUUAAAAAACUCGCAGUUACUGGGGAGACUUUUGCAUCCAAUACCCUUCUCGGAGUUUUUUCUUAGCUUUCCGAGGACAGCACGAAUCAAAAUCUAAUCUUUUUCUCUCUAUUUCGACUCUCGAACUCUUCCUCAG